rnacentral:lncRNA from 1 species
CUGUUUCAGUGGUUCCCAGAUCUUUUUUUCCAGGAGACCCCUAGUCUUCACACUUCACUAGGGGAGAAGGAAACAGGAGAGUACAGAAGAUGGCAUUGCUGCCCCGGAGAACCAGCUCCUUCAGAAAUGAGUGUUUUGCUUUACAGUGAUGUAAACACAAAGGAAAUUACCAAUGGUUUGUUCAAAAGACUUCCCUCGGGAGAGGUAAACCCAGAUCAACAAUUAAC